rnacentral:tRNA from 1 species
GGGUCGGUAGUUCAAUUGGAAGAGCGUCGGUUUCCAAAGCCGAAAGUUGAGGGUUCGAAUCCUUCCCAGCCCG